rnacentral:rRNA from 1 species
CAAACCGGAUUAGAUACCCGGGUAGUCCACGCAGUAAACGAUGUCGGCUCGGUGUAUCGUGGUGGCAACACCAUGGUGUGCCCAAGCUCACGCGGUAAGCCGACCGCCUGGGGACUACGAGCGCAAGCUUAAAACUCAAAGGAAUUGACGGGGGCCCGCACAAGCAGCGGAGCGUGUGGUUUAAUUCGACGCAACGCGAAGAACCUUACCCAGGUUUGACAUGCAGCUGCAAGCGCACGGAAACGUGUGACCUUCGAGGGUGCUGCACAGGUGCUGCAUGGCUGUCGUCAGCUCGUGUCGUGAGAUGUUGGGUUAAGUCCCGCAACGAGCGCAACCCUCGCCGUCAGUUACAAGUGUCUGGCGGGACAGCCCUCGCUAUGGGGGAGGAAGGCGGGGAUGACGUCAAGUCAGCAUGGCCCUUACGCCUGGGGCGACACACACGCUACAAUGCCGACCACAAUGCGCUGCAACCACGCAAGUGCAAGCUAAUCGCCAAAGGUCGGCUCAGUGCAGAUCGGGGGCUGCAACUCGCCCCCGGAAGGCGGAGUU